rnacentral:rRNA from 1 species
CCUACGGGAGGCAGCAGUGGGGAAUAUUGGACAAUGGGCGAAAGCCUGAUCCAGCAAUGCCGCGUGAGUGAUGAAGGCCUUAGGGUUGUAAAGCUCUUUUACCAGGGAUGAUAAUGACAGUACCUGGAGAAUAAGCUCCGGCUAACUCCGUGCCAGCAGCCGCGGUAAUACGGAGGGAGCUAGCGUUGUUCGGAAUUACUGGGCGUAAAGCGUACGUAGGCGGUUAUUCAAGUCAGAGGUGAAAGCCUGGAGCUCAACUCCAGAACUGCCUUUGAAACUAGAUAGCUAGAAUCUUGGAGAGGUGAGUGGAAUUCCGAGUGUAGAGGUGAAAUUCGUAGAUAUUCGGAAGAACACCAGUGGCGAAGGCGACUCACUGGACAAGUAUUGACGCUGAGGUACGAAAGCGUGGGGAGCAAACAGGAUUAGAUACCCUGGUAGUCCACGCCGUAAACGAUGAUAACUAGCUGUUCGGGCUCUACGAGCUUGAGUGGCGCAGCUACGCAUUAAGUUAUCCGCCGUCGGGAGGUACGGUCGCGAGAAUUAAACUAACAAAGAAGUUAGACGGCGUGAGACGUGCCGAACGGACGACGACGAGGGAGGUAGG